rnacentral:rRNA from 1 species
CAGCCGCCGCGGUAAUACGGAGGGGGCAAGCGUUGUUCGGAAUUACUGGGCGUAAAGGGCGCGUAGGCGGUCCGUUUAGUCGGGCGUGAAAGGCCUGGGCUCAACCCGGGGACGGCGCUCGAUACUGGCGGGCUAAGAGUCCGGGAGAGGAUGGCGGAAUUCCCAGUGUAGAGGUGAAAUUCGUAGAUAUUGGGAAGAACACCGGUGGCGAAGGCGGCCAUCGGGACCGGUACUGACGCUGACGCGCGAAAGCGUGGGGAGCAAACAGGAUUAGAUACCCUGGUAGUCCACGCCGUAAACGAUGCGUGCUAGACGUUGGGGGGCAUGCCCUUCGGUGUCGCAGCUAACGCUGUAAGCACGCCGCCUGGGGAGUACGGUCGCAAGAUUAAAACUCAAAGGAAUUGACGG